GACGAACGCUGGCGGCGUGCUUAACACAUGCAAGUCGAACGGAAAGGCCUUGCUUUUGUGGGGUGCUCGGGUGGCGAACGUGUGAGUCACACGUGAGUAACCUGCCUUUGCCUUUGGGAUCUCUUCUGGAAACUUGGGCUACUACCGGAUAUGAGCUCCUGCUGCACGGUGGGGGUUGGAAAGUUUCGGCGGGUGGGGAUGUACUCGCGGCUUAUCGGCUUGCUGGUGGGGUAGUGGCUUACCAAGUCUCUUACGGGUAGCCGGCCUGAGAGGGUGACCGGCCACACUGGGAAGGAGAUACGGCGCGGAAGCAGAGGGGAGGCAGCAGUGGUGAAUAUUGGACAGAGGGAGGAAGCCUGAGGCAGCAACGCCGCGUUCGGGAUGACAGCCUUCGGGUUGUAAACCGGAAGCGACUGGGACGGAGCGGGAGUGACGGUAAUGGGAAAAGAAGCACCGGCUAACUACGUG
rnacentral:rRNA from 1 species